GCUUCUGGCCCCCUCGGGAUUCACCUGGGCGCUGCGGGUGCUCUCCGGGGUCUCCCCGGCCCGGCCGGAUGCCCCUGAAAGCGCUCGAGAAGACAGCUGCGGCCCGGGGCGGCCGGGUGGGCAGCUCAGCCUCUCGUGUAGCGCCCGCGGAGAUUUGGGGGGCCGUGUCACUGCGAGAAGAACGAGACUGCCGCGAGAAAGGCCACAGGUCUGAUGGCUCCAAUAUUCCUUUACCAUCCUUGGAACUCAACAAUCUGGAAUCAAAGAGAAUGGAAGGGAGA